rnacentral:rRNA from 1 species
AGCGAACGCUGGCGGCAGGCCUAACACAUGCAAGUCGAACGAACUCUUCGGAGUUAGUGGCGGUCGGGUGAGUAACACGUGGGAACGUGCCUUUUGGUUCGGAAUAACUCAGGGAAACUUGUGCUAAUACCGAAUGUGCCCUUCGGGGGAAAGAUUUAUCGCCAUUAGAGCGGCCCGCGUCUGAUUAGCUAGUUGGUGAGGUAACGGCUCACCAAGGCGAGGAUCAGUAGCUGGUCUGAGAGGAUGACCAGCCACACUGGGACUGAGACACGGCCCCGACUCCUACGGGAAGCAGCAGUGGGGAAUCUUGCGCAAUGGGCGAAAGCCUGACGCAGCCAUGCCGCGUGAAUGAUGAAGGUCUUAGGAUUGUAAAAUUCUUUCACCGGGGACGAUAAUGACGGUACCCGGAGAAGAAGCCCCGGCUAACUUCGUG